CCACCUGUAUACUUUUCUCACUGCUUUUACCUGAGCCUCUGUUUCCGCAUAGGAUAAUGAGGCAAAGAUGAAGGGAAUCGAAUUUGGUCCCCAAGGCAUAUGAUUCUCUGGUCCUCCUCUCCACCUCGGACGGCUCCUGCGGCUCCUUCCAGCCCAUCCUUCCUCCUUUCUUGGAUUCCUUGCAGGUCCCGGAAGGGACCAAGCCCGUACUCCAUGCCAGGCCUUUGUACUUGCCGUGUUCUCUACCAAUCUCCGGAUGACGUCUGAUGUGGAGCCCCUUUUCAUUCGCUCAUUUGCGAGCUGUAUAUCUUUGUCAUUGAGAGGCCCAGCUGUGGACCUGGUGUUGAAACAAACAUGAUGCGGGGAUGCCGGCCACCCACCGAGGACCUCCCAGGGCAGUGUGAGACACUUUGGCACGGCACCUGGUGAACAGAGCCAGCCCCCGGAACCACCAGCAAUUGGGAAGAACGUGGACUUCAGUUGCCACUUUACCUGUAUGACCUUGGACAUGUCCUUGGACCUCUCCGAGCCCUCAGUGUCAUUGGGAGACAGGAGAUGGCACGUGUCAAGAGCAUCGGCUGCCUGAUUAUGAACAUGAGUGAGCGAGCCAGAUGGGGGAUCCCAGGCUGAGGGAGGGACCUGGUACUUGGGAGGAGGGCUCAGAGCAUGGCCCCUCUCACCCUGCUCUCUAGGCCACACAUUUCUAUGGGAGUGGGUCCUGGUGGCAUCUCAGGUGACAGUGCCUUGGGAGAAAAAGUCAGAUCCCCAGGGCGGCCUCUUCCCAGCUCGGGGACAUACCCUCUGCUGAACUUCACAGCCUCUGAGCAGCCUGUCCCAUCACUUGCUAAGUGGGGGAGAAUGAGGUGUGUCUACAGAAGUUACAUGAUCAGGGGCUCCUGGGUGGCUCAGUGGGUUAA